UAGAGGAACAAUUCCACCCAGUGCCUUAAUGGAGAACUAGACAUUUUUGAAAUAGAUGCUGUGUGUGGUGGUGCACACCUAUUAUUCCAGCACUUGUGAGGUUGAAACAAGAUCACUGCAAGCUAAAGACCAACCUGGGCUACAUGCUCUGGGGUAGCAGUAUGGUUCACAGCUCCAAAGAGUCAAGAAGUUAUACAAGCCCAAGUUUCACCCCUCACUGUAACAUCACUGAGAGUAACUCCGAGCUUUGAAACCCCAGGCUGUUUCCUGCUGAGAGGAUUUGAUAAGGUGAUGCACGUAAGGCACUUCAACAGCCUGCCCUGGAGCAAUUCUGACAGUGCUGAAUCCCCAGCACCUGCUGGCCACUCACACAUGUACAACGCAGAAGUACAGGGCUGAUAAGCAG